CCAAUAGCGUAUAUUAAAGUUGUUGCAGUUAAAAAGCUCGUAGUUGAAUUUCGGGACCAUCAUGUCGGUCGUGCCUCGGUACGUACUGGCAUUGUUGGUUUCUCCCUUCUGACGAACCAUGAUGUCAUUUAUUUGGUGUUGUGGGGAAUCAGGACUGUUACUUUGAACAAAUUAGAGUGUUUAAAGCAGGCUCACGCUUGAAUACAUUAGCAUGGAAUAAUGAAAUAGGAGGUUUGAUUCUAUUUUGUUGGUUUCUAGGAUCGACGUAAUGAUUAAUAGGGAUAGUUGGGGGCAUUAGUAUUCAAUUGUCAGAGGUGAAAUUCUUGGAUUUAUUGAAGACUAACUACUGCGAAAGCAUUUGCCAAGGAUGUUUUCAUUAAUCAAGAACGAAAGUUAGGGGAUCGGAGACGAUCAGAUACCGUCGUAGUCUUAACCAUAAACUAUGCCGACUAGGGAUCGGAUGAUGUUAAUUUUUUAAUGACUCAUUCGGCGCCUUACG
rnacentral:rRNA from 1 species